AUGAUCAAAGAGAUAAGGAAGCAAAACGGCGUUUCAUGGGACGACCGGCAGUGCAGGAUUCUAGCGGAUCCACCACUUUGGAAAAACAUCAUCAUAUCACACCCUAAAGCUGGAAAGUUCAAGACAAAAGGCUUCCCUCUUUUUGAAGCUCUGGGAGAAUUGCAUGAUGGCCAAACUGCAGAAGGGACAUAUAACUUCACCUCUAUCGAGUCAUCACAUUGCUCAACCCAAUCAGAUCUCGAGAAUCUUGGAGGAGCUGGCAAGAAUCAAGGAGAAACAUUAGCUGAUGGUGAGAAUCUUGGAGGAGAAAGGGUGCAGAUCGAUGAAGAUGUUGAGGAGAAAUGGAGAAGAGAAAGAACCAAAGAGAAGGAGGGGGCGAAUGGUGAUGUGGCUGCAAUGAUGGAGAAGUACUUGGAAAUAAGGACGAAGCAGGUGGACGAUGAGAGGAAUAAGCCAAGGGUCAUGGAUGAGUACUCUAUCAAAAACUGCAUUGAUCUGCUGAAAACAAUGGAGAUCACACUUGAAGAAGAAGUCAAGGCUUUUCGAGUCUUCAAGAUCCCCGAGAACCGAGAGAUUUUCAUGAGUGCCAGACCGGAGACUGCUCUUAUGUGGCUGAGAGCUGAAAUGGAAUAA
rnacentral:rRNA from 1 species